rnacentral:rRNA from 1 species
UACGUAGGGUGCAAGCGUUGUCCGGAAUUAUUGGGCGUAAAGAGCUCGUAGGCGGUUUGUCGCGUCUGCUGUGAAAACCCGAGGCUCAACCUCGGGCCUGCAGUGGGUACGGGCAGACUAGAGUGCGGUAGGGGAGAUUGGAAUUCCUGGUGUAGCGGUGGAAUGCGCAGAUAUCGGGAGGAACACCAGUGGCGAAGGCGGCUUCCUGGACCGGUUCUGACACUGAGGAGCGAAAGCGUGGGGAGCGAUCCGG